rnacentral:rRNA from 1 species
AUUGAACGCUGGCGGCAGGCUUAACACAUGCAAGUCGAGCGAGCGGCGGACGGGUGUGUAAUGUCUGGGAAUCUGCCUGAUGGAGGGGGAUCACUACUGGAAACGGUAGCUAAUACCGCAUACCAUCAGAUGUGGCCAGAUGGGCUUAGCUAGAAGGUGGGGUAAUGGCUCACCUAGGCGAAGAUACCUAGCUGGUCUGAGAGGAUGACCAGCCAUACUGGAAGUGUGAGACGGUCCGGACUCGUACGGGACGCAGCGGUGGGGAAUAUUCCCAAAUGGCCGCAAGCCUGAUGCAGCAAUGCCGCGUGUGGGAAGAAGGCCUGCGGGUUGUAAAGCACUUUCAGCGAUUAGGCGAGACUCGCAGAAGAAGCACCGGCUAACUCCGUGCCAGCAGCCGCGGUAAUAC